rnacentral:rRNA from 1 species
GACGAAUGCUGGCGGCGUGCCUAAUACAUGCAAGUAGGACGCAGUUGCGAACGGGUGAGUAACGCGUAGGUAACUACCUAUUAGAGGGGGAUAACUAUUGGCAACGAUAGCUAAUACCGCAUACUAGUAGAUGGACCUGCUUUGUAUUAGCUAGUAGGUAGGGUAAUGGCCUACCUAGGCAACGAUACAUAGCCGAGUGGAGGGGGUGAUUGGCCACAUUGGGAACGAGACACGGCCCAGAAUCCUAAGGGAGGCAGCAGUAGGGAAACUUCGGCAAUGGGGGGAACCCUGACCGAGCAAAGCCGGGUGAGUGAAGAAGGGUUUCAGAGCGUAAAGCUCUGUUGUGAAGGAAGCGGUACUUAACGAGAAAGGGACGGCUAACUACGUGCCAGCAGCCGCGGUAAUUC